rnacentral:rRNA from 1 species
GAUGAACGCUGGCGGCGUGCCUAAUACAUGCAAGUCGAGCGAACGGACGAGAAGCUUGCUUCUCUGAUGUUAGCGGCGGACGGGUGAGUAACACGUGGAUAACCUACCUAUAAGACUGGGAUAACUUCGUGAAACCGGAGCUAAUACCGGAUGAUAUUUUGAACCGCAUGGUUCAAAAGUGAAAGACGGUCUUGCUGUCACUUAUAGCUGGAUCCGCGCUGCAUUAGCUAUUUGGUAAGGUAACGGCUUACCAAGGCAACGAUGCAUAGCCGACCUGAGAGGGUGAUCGGCCACACUGGAACUGAGACACGGUCCAGACUCCUACGGGAGGCAGCAGUAGGGAAUCUUCCGCAAUGGGCGAAAGCCUGACGGAGCAACGCCGCGUGAGUGAUGAAGGUCUUCGGAUCGUAAAACUCUGUUAUUAGGGAAGAACAUAUGUGUAAGUAACUGUGCACAUCUUGACGGUACCUAAUCAGAAAGCCACGGCUAACUACGUG